CCGGGCAACUCCCGCCCACCUCGCUGAGGGCCCUUGGCUUCAGUGUCGACAGUGCGCAAGCGCGCGGUUCCCUGCCCAGGCCUGGUCCCGCCCUGCCGGCUGGCGGAGUCUAACAGCGAAACUGCGGGGGUUUGGGCUGUCUUUCUGGAGUGUUCAGAAUUUCUCUAGCCCUGGGAGCAUUUUUUCACAGUGAAAGGACAGCCUGAGAAAAAAUGAGACCUGGACUCAGCCCAGACAGUGAAGAGAAGUGUGUGCAAGAAACAGUGCAUUUCCUUAUUUAAUUAUAUCUUACCUAGCCCUCUCAGCCCCCAAUUUCCAGCCUUUUCCAGAAUACCAUCAUGAUGUUUCACCAUGAGUGACUUCAUUUCCUGCUGAUUUCUUUACAAGGAAAGCAACACUUAUCCAGCAACACACAAAAGUUGCUUUUUCCUCUAAAAAUCCACAAGAGAUUUUUAGGGCUGUGAAAAUCCUCUGCAAGAUACUAUGAUGGUGAACACAAGUCAUUAUACAUUUGUACAAACCUGUUAUUCGUACAACACCUAAUGUAAACUAUGGACUUUGGGUAAUGAUGUGUCGAUAUAGAUUCAUCAGUUGUGAGGAAUGUACUGCUCUGAUGGAGGAUGUUGAUAAUUGGGGAAGUUAUGCAUAUGUGGGGAG